rnacentral:rRNA from 1 species
AACGAACGCUGGCGGCAGGCCUCAAACAUGCAAGUCUAGGGGGUGUAGCAAUACAUCACCGGCGGACGGGUGCGUAACGCGUGGGAAUGUACCUAUUGGUUCGGAACAACACAGGGAAACUUGUGCUAAUACCGAAUGUGCCCGUAAGGGGAAAGAUUUAUCGCCAAUAGAUCAGCCCGCGUAGAAUUAGCUAGUUGGUGAGGUAAUGGCUCACCAAGGCUCCGAUCCUUAGCUGUUCUGAGAGGAAGAUCAGCCACACUGGGGCUGAGACACGGCCCAGACUCCUACGGGAGGCAGCAGUUGGGAAUCUUGGACAAUGGGGGAAACCCUGAUCCAGCCAUGCCGCGUGAGUGAUGAAGGCCUUCGGGUUGUAAAACUCUUUCGACGGGGACGAUAAUAACGGUACCCGUAGAAGAAGCUCCGGCUAACUUCGUGCCAGCCGCCGCAGUAA